rnacentral:rRNA from 1 species
ACUCCUACGGGAGGCAGCAGUGGGGAAUAUUGGACAAUGGGGGCAACCCUGAUCCAGCCAUGCCGCGUGAGUGAUGACGGCCUUAGGGUUGUAAAGCUCUUUCAGCAGUGAAGAUAAUGACAUUAUCUGCAGA